GGCUGGUUAGCUCAGUUGGUUAGAGUGUGGUGCCAAUAAUGCCAAGGUCAUGGGUUCGAUCCCCAUACUUGCUA